ACGGCCGUGGCCGAGUGGUUAAGGCGGUCGACUAGAAAUCGACUGACGUUAUGUCGCACAGGUUCGAAUCCUGUCGGCCGUG
rfam:Thalassiosira oceanica strain CCMP1005 To_g02826, whole genome shotgun sequence.